rnacentral:rRNA from 1 species
AGGUUACUGCUAUCGGUGUUCGCCUAAGCCAUGCGAGUCAUAUGUUCGUAAGAACAUGGCGUACUGCUCAGUAACACGUGGAUAACCUGCCCUUGGGUCCGGCAUAACCCCGGGAAACUGGGGAUAAUUCCGGAUAACGCACAUAUGCUGGAAUGCUUUAUGCGUAAAAUGGAUUCGUCUGCCCAAGGAUGGGUCUGCGGCCUAUCAGGUAGUAGUGGGUGUAAUGUACCUACUAGCCUACGACGGGUACGGGUUGUGAGAGCAAGAGCCCGGAGAUGGAUUCUGAGACAUGAAUCCAGGCCCUACGGGGCGCAGCAGGCGCGAAAACUUUACAAUGCGGGAAACCGUGAUAAGGGGACACCGAGUGCCAGCAUCCUAUGCUGGCUGUCCGGGUGUGUAAAAUACACCUGUUAGCAAGGGCCGGGCAAGACCGGUGCCAGCCGCCGCGGUAACACCGGCGGCCCGAGUGGUGAUCGUGAUUAUUGGGUCUAAAGGGUCCGUAGCCGGUUUGGUCAGUCCUCCGGGAAAUCUGACAGCUUAACUGUUAGGCUUUCGGAGGAUACUGCCAGACUUGGAACCGGGAGAGGUAAGAGGUACUACAGGGGUAGGAGUGAAAUCUUGUAAUCCCUGUGGGACCACCUGUGGCGAAGGCGUCUUACCAGAACGGGUUCGACGGUGAGGGACGAAAGCUGGGGGCACGAACCGGAUUAGAUACCCGGGUAGUCCCAGCCGUAAACGAUGCUCGCUAGGUGUCAAGCAUGGCGCGACCGUGUCUGGUGCCGCAGGGAAGCCGUGAAGCGAGCCACCUGGGAAGUACGGCCGCAAGGCUGAAACUUAA